AAAAAAAACACUUUAAAGAUUAAUAGAUUGCUACAUUUCACAUGUUUGUUCUAGACAAUCUGUUCAGCAGUUUUAAUGGAGUAAUUCGUUUAGAACGGCAAACUAAACAAGGAACGGGCUUCCAGAUGCACACGUCGACACGCUCCCGUCAGGAACGCUUCGAGGGUUUCUGUUUAAAAAGCAGGCUGUGGUAAAGCAAAGUAUAACCACAGAAAUUCCUCAGUGUCUGGAUUUAAAAACAACCAGAGCAAAAGCUUACUUCAUAUGAUCGUUUCAAAACUAAAAUAAGUGCAUGUCAGAUGCUGCACAUAACAUUAAUCGACAUGAAAGGAAAUUAAAAUGUCUCCCCAAUUAGGAACACAAAAUAGCUUGCUAUUUUGGAGAGAGAGAGAGCUAAAGAAAAAAAAUAUAUAGCUGCAAGCAGCAAUACCAGGGUCAAGCCAAUUAUCGGCACCACGAGCAGCAAAAGAAGCUUUGAGACAUGUUUUUGGUCAGAAUCCGAUGAAGCGUAUGACGAUUAGAAAAAGUAUAUUUAAAAAGAACAAAAUAGCUACUUAGAAUUUUUGUCCAGUAUGUGGCGCUGUUCUGUGGAAAGCAUUCAAGAGUUGUAAGCCAAAAUAGCCGAUUUAGCCUUCUCCUGACCUGUAGGGGGCAGCAUGCCAAUACUCUGUAGGCAACCUCAGGGCCGGAUGACGACGCCUGCCAAGUUCCGUCACAAUCCCUCAAAGCCUCGCAGAGACACGGCCGCAAGUUCUAUUUUGAGCGUUCUGCAUUGAAUUAGUCAAAGCGCCAUUCGGAAAUGGUUCGGUUCAUCAGAAUCCCGUGAAUAAAUUUUUGACGGGAGUGCCUCUAGAUGACGCAGGUCAAUUUUCAUCCAAAUCGGACAAACUGUCUAGGAGGAAUUCGGAAAAAGUAGGCUCUCAAAACAUUUAAAAAUGGCGGACAGGAAGUUUACUUUAUCAUUACAUAAUUGGUAUCGUUGUUCUUGAAGUGAACGACGGAAUCGAAGACUAGUCUCAUGACAGUAGGCAAAAUGAGUCAAUAGCUAUUAGCAUUUUUAGAAAUCGCAAUCAUUUUUGACCACGAGGUGGCACUGUCCUGCAACUGAGUCUCUUCA
ensembl:lncRNA